UACAUGGGGUGCAAACGUUGCUCGGAAUUAUUGGGCGUAAAGCGCGCGUAGGCGGUUACUUAAGUCGGAUGUGAAAGCCCUCGGCUUAACUGAGGAAGUGCACCCGAAACUGAGUAGCUAGAGUACGAAAGAGGGUCGCGGAAUUCCCGGUGUAGAGGUGAAAUUCGUAGAUAUCGGGAGGAACACCGGUGGCGAAGGCGGCGACCUGGGUCGAGACUGACGCUGAGGAGCGAAAGCGUGGGGAGCGAACAGG
rnacentral:rRNA from 1 species